rnacentral:rRNA from 1 species
UCAAACUGGGAUUAGAUACCCCACUAUGCCUAGCCCUAAAUCUAGAUACCUCCCAUCACACAUGUAUCCGCCUGAGAACUACGAGCACAAACGCUUAAAACUCUAAGGACUUGGCGGUGCCCCAAACCCACCUAGAGGAGCCUGUUCUAUAAUCGAUAAUCCACGAUUCACCCAACCACCCCUUGCCAGCACAGCCUACAUACCGCCGUCGCCAGCCCACCUCUAAUGAAAGAACAACAGUGAGCUCAAUAGCCCCUCGCUAAUAAGACAGGUCAAGGUAUAGCCUAUGGGGUGGGAGAAAUGGGCUACAUUUUCUAACAUAGAACAAACGAAAAAGGACGUGAAACCCGCCCUUAGAAGGAGGAUUUAGCAGUAAAGUGAGAUCAUACCCCCUAAGCUCACUUUAAGACGGCUCUGAGGCACGUACACACCGC